CAUUGACGUGGAGGUGGAGGAGCCAUUAAAGGGGCAGAUGAGCAGCUUCCUCCUGUCCACGGCCAACCAGCAGGAGAUCAGUGCUCUGGACAGUAAGAUCCAUGAGACGAUUGAGUCCAUAAACCAGCUCAAGAUCCAGAGGGACUUCAUGCUAAGCUUCUCCAGAGACCCCAAAGGCUAUGUCCAAGACCUGCUCCGCUCCCAGAGCCGGGACCUCAAGGUGAAGAGGGAGACUCAGGGAGUACUGGAGUGGAAGACAAGCACAGUGGGAAAGAGAGUAAACGUUGUACUCCAGGGGCAGGUGAGGGGAUUCAGGGCUCAGGGCUCACCCCACGCUCCCUCCCAGGUGAUGACAGAUGUAGCCGGCAACCCCGAAGAGGAGCGCCGGGCUGAGUUCUACCACCAGCCCUGGUCCCAGGAGGCCGUCAGUCGCUACUUCUACUGCAAGGUACGCAGGGACCCUUGCCCUGAGGCUUCCCCAUCCUCAACUCCAAGAGAAACCUCCCUGUUCAGCUCGUGGGCAGCCCUCGCAGCUCCCCACAGUAAAGCUUCACCACACUGCCUCACCAUGCAAUGGCCCUCCCUGCUCCCAGAUGCUCUUUCAGGGCAGGCGGUGUCAGUAGGUGGGAUUGUCCUGAUCACUCACCAGAACACUGACACCUGCUCCUGUUCUCACUUCCUCUAAAGAUCCAGCAGCGCAGGCAGGAGCUGGAGCAGUCGCUGGUUGUGCGCAACACCUAGGAGCCCAAAAAUAAGCAGCACGACGGAACUUUCAGCCGUGUCCCGGGCCCCAGCAUUUUGCCCCGGGCUCCAGCAUCACUCCUCUGCCACCUUGGGGUGUGGGGCUGGAUUAAAAGUCAUUC
rnacentral:sRNA from 1 species